GCGCUCGUAGCUCAGUGGAUUAGAGCAUCUGGCUUCGAACCAGAGGGUCGGGGGUUCGAUCCCCUCCGAGCGCA
rfam:Candidatus Moranbacteria bacterium RIFCSPHIGHO2_01_FTLL_54_31 rifcsphigho2_01_scaffold_3356, whole genome shotgun sequence.